rnacentral:rRNA from 1 species
UACGAAGGGUGCAAGCGUUACUCGGAAUUACUGGGCGUAAAGCGUGCGUAGGUGGUUCGUUAAGUCUGAUGUGAAAGCCCUGGGCUCAACCUGGGAAUGGCAUUGGAUACUGGCGAUCUAGAGUGCGGUAGAGGGCAGUGGGAAUUCCCGGUGUAGCAGUGAAAUGCGUAGAGAUCGGGAGGAACAUCUGUGGCGAAGGCGACCGCCUGGACCAGCACGUGACACUGAGGCACGAAAGCGUGGGGAGCAAACAGGG